AACCUCCGCAAUGUGAGAAAUCGCGACGGGGGGAUCCCAAGUGCCAUUCUUAACGGGAUGGCUUUUCAUUAGUGUAAAGAGCUUUUGGAAUAAGAGCUGGGCAAGACCGGUGCCAGCCGCCGCGGUAACACCGGCAGCUCUAGUGGUAACAAUUUUUAUUGGGCCUAAAGCGUCCGUAGCCGGUUUAAUAAGUCUCUGGUGAAAUCCUGUAGCUUAACUGUGGGAAUUGCUGGAGAUACUAUUAGACUUGAGACCGGGAGAGGUUAGAGGUACUCCCAGGGUAGAGGUGAAAUUCUGUAAUCCUGGGAGGACCGCCUGUUGCGAAGGCGUCUAACUGGAACGGUUCUGACGGUGAGGGACGAAAGUUAGGGGCGCGAAACCGGAUUAGAUACCCGGGUAGUCCUAACUGUAAACGAUGCGGAUUGGUGUUGGGGUGGCUUUGAGCUGCUCCAGUGCCGAAGGGAAGCUGUUAAGUCCGCCGCCUGGGAAGUACGGUCGCAAGACUGAAACUUAAAGGAAUU
rnacentral:rRNA from 1 species